rnacentral:rRNA from 1 species
UAGGGAAUCUUCCGCAAUGGGCGAAAGACUGACGGAGCAACGCCGCGUGAGUGAUGAAGGUCUUCGGAUCGUAAAACUCUGUUAUUAGGGAAGAACAAAUGUGUAAGUAACUAUGCACGUCUUGACGGUACCUAAUCAGAAAGCCACGGCUAACUACGUGCCAGCAGCCGCGGUAAUACGUAGGUGGCAAGCGUUAUCCGGAAUUAUUGGGCGUAAAGCGCGCGUAGGCGGUUUUUUGAGUCUGAUGUGAAAGCCCACGGCUCAACCGUGGAGGGUCAUUGGAAACUCGAUAUCUUGAGUGCAGAAGAGGAAAGUGGAAUUCCAUGUGUAGCGGUGAAAUGCGCAGAGAUAUGGAGGAACACCAGUGGCGAAGGCGACUUUCUGGACUGUAUCUGACGCUGAUGUGCGAAAGCGUGGGGAUCAAACAGG